rnacentral:rRNA from 1 species
ACUAAGCGUACACGGUGGAUGCCCUGGCAGUCAGAGGCGAUGAAGGACGUGCUAAUCUGCGAUAAGCGUCGGUAAGGUGAUAUGAACCGUUAUAACCGGCGAUUUCCGAAUGGGGAAACCCAGUGUGUUUCGACACACUAUCAUUAACUGAAUCCAUAGGUUAAUGAGGCGAACCGGGGGAACUGAAACAUCUAAGUACCCCGAGGAAAAGAAAUCAACCGAGAUUCCCCCAGUAGCGGCGAGCGAACGGGGAGCAGCCCAGAGCCUGAAUCAGUGUGUGUGUUAGUGGAAGCGUCUGGAAAGGCGCGCGAUACAGGGUGACAGCCCCGUACACAAAAAUGCACAUGCUGUGAGCUCGAUGAGUAGGGCGGGACACGUGGUAUCCUGUCUGAAUAUGGGGGGACCAUCCUCCAAGGCUAAAUACUCCUGACUGACCGAUAGUGAACCAGUACCGUGAGGGAAAGGCGAAAAGAACCCCGGCGAGGGGAGUGAAAAAGAACCUGAAACCGUGUACGUACAAGCAGUGGGAGCACGCUUAGGCGUGUGACUGCGUACCUUUUGUAUAAUGGGUCAGCGACUUAUAUUCUGUAGCAAGGUUAACCGAAUAGGGGAGCCGAAGGGAAACCGAGUCUUAACUGGGCGUUAAGUUGCAGGGUAUAGACCCGAAACCCGGUGAUCUAGCCAUGGGCAGGUUGAAGGUUGGGUAACACUAACUGGAGGACCGAACCGACUAAUGUUGAAAAAUUAGCGGAUGACUUGUGGCUGGGGGUGAAAGGCCAAUCAAACCGGGAGAUAGCUGGUUCUCCCCGAAAGCUAUUUAGGUAGCGCCUCGUGAAUUCAUCUCCGGGGGUAGAGCACUGUUUCGGCAAGGGGGUCAUCCCGACUUACCAACCCGAUGCAAACUGCGAAUACCGGAGAAUGUUAUCACGGGAGACACACGGCGGGUGCUAACGUCCGUCGUGAAGAGGGAAACAACCCAGACCGCCAGCUAAGGUCCCAAAGUCAUGGUUAAGUGGGAAACGAUGUGGGAAGGCCCAGACAGCCAGGAUGUUGGCUUAGAAGCAGCCAUCAUUUAAAGAAAGCGUAAUAGCUCACUGGUCGAGUCGGCCUGCGCGGAAGAUGUAACGGGGCUAAACCAUGCACCGAAGCUGCGGCAGCGACGCUGAUGCGUUGUUGGGUAGGGGAGCGUUCUGUAAGCCUGCGAAGGUGUGCUGUGAGGCAUGCUGGAGGUAUCAGAAGUGCGAAUGCUGACAUAAGUAACGAUAAAGCGGGUGAAAAGCCCGCUCGCCGGAAGACCAAGGGUUCCUGUCCAACGUUAAUCGGGGCAGGGUGAGUCGACCCCUAAGGCGAGGCCGAAAGGCGUAGUCGAUGGGAAACAGGUUAAUAUUCCUGUACUUGGUGUUACUGCGAAGGGGGGACGGAGAAGGCUAUGUUGGCCGGGCGACGGUUGUCCCGGUUUAAGCGUGUAGGCUGGUUUUCCAGGCAAAUCCGGAAAAUCAAGGCUGAGGCGUGAUGACGAGGCACUACGGUGCUGAAGCAACAAAUGCCCUGCUUCCAGGAAAAGCCUCUAAGCAUCAGGUAACAUCAAAUCGUACCCCAAACCGACACAGGUGGUCAGGUAGAGAAUACCAAGGCGCUUGAGAGAACUCGGGUGAAGGAACUAGGCAAAAUGGUGCCGUAACUUCGGGAGAAGGCACGCUGAUAUGUAGGUGAGGUCCCUCGCGGAUGGAGCUGAAAUCAGUCGAAGAUACCAGCUGGCUGCAACUGUUUAUUAAAAACACAGCACUGUGCAAACACGAAAGUGGACGUAUACGGUGUGACGCCUGCCCGGUGCCGGAAGGUUAAUUGAUGGGGUUAGCGCAAGCGAAGCUCUUGAUCGAAGCCCCGGUAAACGGCGGCCGUAACUAUAACGGUCCUAAGGUAGCGAAAUUCCUUGUCGGGUAAGUUCCGACCUGCACGAAUGGCGUAAUGAUGGCCAGGCUGUCUCCACCCGAGACUCAGUGAAAUUGAACUCGCUGUGAAGAUGCAGUGUACCCGCGGCAAGACGGAAAGACCCCGUGAACCUUUACUAUAGCUUGACACUGAACAUUGAGCCUUGAUGUGUAGGAUAGGUGGGAGGCUUAGAAGUGUGGACGCCAGUCUGCAUGGAGCCGACCUUGAAAUACCACCCUUUAAUGUUUGAUGUUCUAACGUUGACCCGUAAUCCGGGUUGCGGACAGUGUCUGGUGGGUAGUUUGACUGGGGCGGUCUCCUCCUAAAGAGUAACGGAGGAGCACGAAGGUUGGCUAAUCCUGGUCGGACAUCAGGAGGUUAGUGCAAUGGCAUAAGCCAGCUUGACUGCGAGCGUGACGGCGCGAGCAGGUGCGAAAGCAGGUCAUAGUGAUCCGGUGGUUCUGAAUGGAAGGGCCAUCGCUCAACGGAUAAAAGGUACUCCGGGGAUAACAGGCUGAUACCGCCCAAGAGUUCAUAUCGACGGCGGUGUUUGGCACCUCGAUGUCGGCUCAUCACAUCCUGGGGCUGAAGUAGGUCCCAAGGGUAUGGCUGUUCGCCAUUUAAAGUGGUACGCGAGCUGGGUUUAGAACGUCGUGAGACAGUUCGGUCCCUAUCUGCCGUGGGCGCUGGAGAACUGAGGGGGGCUGCUCCUAGUACGAGAGGACCGGAGUGGACGCAUCACUGGUGUUCGGGUUGUCAUGCCAAUGGCACUGCCCGGUAGCUAAAUGCGGAAGAGAUAAGUGCUGAAAGCAUCUAAGCACGAAACUUGCCCCGAGAUGAGUUCUCCCUGACCCUUUAAGGGUCCUGAAGGAACGUUGAAGACGACGACGUUGAUAGGCCGGGUGUGUAAGCGCAGCGAUGCGUUGAGCUAACCGGUACUAAUGAACCGUGAGGCUUAACC